AAGAAGCAGCACCACGCCCUGUGUUUCCCGUGCUGUUGGUUGUUGGUCUGGUUUCUGGAGUUUUACUGAUUAUUCUCCUGCUGCUGUUUCUGUGUCGCUACAGAAAGUCAAAAGCUUCAAGCCCCAGCAGGUCUCAGAGGACCAAUCAGAGCCCAGCUACAAACCACAUGAUCAACCAGGGUGAAGACGGACAUUACGCUUCUCUUCUUCCUGGUGGUUCUUGUGUCUAUGAAACACUCAGAGGCUCUGAAGAACCUGAACAUGGGACGAAUGAUGAACCAGAGGAGAGAGAUUACCAAAAUGUGACGAUGUAACCAGCUGCAGAUGGAUGAAACACCUGCAUGAACAGAACCAGGGGAACGGAUGACGACAUGAAAAACCUUUGUCUUUUUGAGUAAUUAUUGUGUGAAAUUCUUCUUUCCUGAUAUGAGACAGAAUUUUGUAGUUAAUGAGCAGAUCAUUUAGCUCAUAUGUCUUUAAAAGUUUUACUUGGUGAAAAGAGCAAAUUAUUCCAUCUACUUAUUCAAAUGUUGGUGUUGAGUGUUUAUUGUAUAUUUCAUUUUAUCUCCUCAGUCACUUUGUUUUUUAAAGCUUUUUUUAAUGGAGGCUGGUUUAAAAAGCAGAAAAAAGCAGAUUGACAUCUUUGAGCUUCAGUAUGUUGGUGAUAUUUUUCUAUAUAAAGUCAUUUUUUGUUUUAUUUCUGAUUAAAAAAAAGCUUUUAGCAUUUAUUACACAUUUGAUCUGUUAUUGGACAACACAUUUCUCCAACAUUUAAGUUUAUCUUUGUCUUUUUAAGAGUUUUAACAGGUGAUGUUUGUAUUUCCUCUUCACCUGUUUGUGUUUAA